GUCCAUGGCUAUACCACCCUGAACAUGCCUGAUCUCAUGUGAUCUCAAAAGCUAAGCAGGGUCGGGCCUGGUUAGUACUUGGAUGGGAGAAUUAUGUUAAUGUUACUA
rnacentral:rRNA from 1 species